AUGACGACACAGCCCAUCAACACAUUAAGUUGGAAUGUUCGCGGUCUAAACAACCCGGCGCGGAGGUCAGCUGUUAGCGCGACGAUUGCAGCCUCCUCAUGCCAGCUUGUAUGUUUGCAAGAGACUAAGCUUGGCUGCGUUGAUAAAUUCGUUGCUGCCUUCCUUGGUGGUAACAGGCUUCAAGGCUUUGCGCAACGCCCGGCUCUGGGGACUAGGGGAGGGAUUCUGCUACUUUGGGAUGACACGGUCCUCGACGUCUCCGAUAUCACUGCAUCGACCUAUUGCCUCUCUGGUACGGUUCGUGCCCGUGCGACUGACGUCUGUUUUAGGGUCACGUCCGUUUAUGAGCCAACUGACCAUGCCUACAAAGAUGCGUUUUUUGCCGAGCUUAUCUCCCACAAGCCUCCUAAUGGGACUGCAUGGCUGGCCCUUGGGGAUUUCAACCAAAUUUACCGUGCACGCGACAAAAACAAGAGAAUCUUCAACCGGCGUAGGAUCAAUCGCUUUCGGGCUGCGUUGCAAUCUUGUGAGCUCGAAAUUCAUCUCCAGAAUCGGCGCUUCACCUGGAGCAACGAGCGGAACAACCCAACUCUCUGCAAGCUUGACUCCUUCUUCUGCAAUGUGGAGUGGGAUACGACCUUCAGCACCCAUGUCCUACAUGCUCUGUCAUCUUCACUUUCCGACCAUUGCCCCCUGCUGCUUGCUGAUGAUAAAGGGCCCAGAAGGCCUAGAUCCUUCAAGUUUGAAACCUUCUGGGCUUCUUUGCCUGGCUUCUCCGAGGUAGUGCAAAAGGCCUGGGACGAGCGAGUCGAGCACUCGGAGCCGUACCAAGUUUUGUACCAUAAGCUAAAAAAAAUUGCGAUCCGUCUAUCUGAGUGGAGCAAGAACUUGUUUUCCAAGGCUAAGGUUCAGCUCCAUGCGGCCCUGCUUGUGAUUCUCCACCUCGACAUCGCGCAAGAGGAAAGGGCUCUCUCUCCUGAGGAGCGAGACUUGCGCACGAGACUCAAGCGGAGGGUGAUUAGCUUGGCGGUUCUUGAGAGGUCUAGGAAGAGUCAAUGUGCUCGGCUGCAAAAUUUGAAGCAUGGGGAUGCAAACACAAAAUUCUUCCACCAACGCAUCAAUGCCAGAAGGAGGAAAAACCACAUUCACCGGAUCAAACAUGUGCAUGGGUGGGUGACCGAACACAAGGAAAAAGAGAAGAUCAUACAUUCCCACUUCACCGAGAUUAUGGGUACAGGAUGCAGUAGCAACAAAGACUUCAACCGGGAGGAGCUUCGAAUAGAGACCCAUGACUUGCACGACCUGGGCAACACCAUCACGGAAGAUGAGGUUUGGGCGGCCAUAAAGGAGAUGCCUAGUGAUAAGGCGCCCAGUCCGGAUGGCUUCACAGUGUGA
rnacentral:rRNA from 1 species